AGUGUUUUAAACAAAAUGAAAAACACUUUCCUCAAUCUUCACACCUCACAUGGUCUUCCUUUUCCUUCCUUGCAGCUCCCCAUUCAAACCCACCCUCUCCUCAGUUCCUCCGCCUCUCCUCUUUGUCUCGCUUUCCCUUUCCCAAUUGAACCGAGCCUCUCUUCCACACCAGACUCUCUCUCGCUCUCUCUCUCUCUCUCUCUAUCAUUUUCCCCAAAUUUUUCUAUUUCCCUCUCUCUUUUGUCGUCGGUGGUAUCAAUGGCUGUGUGGGAUUUGGUGAGGAGAUGGGUUAUGAGAAAGAGCCUUCGACUUACAGAGAGGGCGGGAGAGAGAGGGCGGGAGAGAGAGAGCUUGCGGCUUGCAGAAUCACGAUGAUAGAAGAAGCUUAGAGGUCUGAUUCGCCAUUUCAGAGGAACCCUAAAAACCAGAGAAGGAGAAGAGGCUAAGAAAUCGAAGCAUUCAAAUCAUGGGCCGAGGAAGAUGAGGCGGAUACGAUCGUCAGAUCACGAUUUUCUCUCCCGAAUGUUGCCUCUUCCAAGUCGCUAGGGUUUAGAUGAGUCCACCUGCUACGGUGAAGAUGGAAGAUGCUAAAUUUUGCUUGAUGGAGGUAAAUUUUGCUCAAUUUUACUUAUUUGUUAUUGUGAAAAGUGUUGUCAGAAGUGUUGGCAACUGCCAAAAGUUUCAUGCCAACAGAUGAUCGUUUUAAGGUACAUGGGUUGCCUUUUGUUUCCAUCACUCCACUUUAUGUCUGGUUUAAGUUUGAUUUUGCAUACCUUGCUUGUUUCUUUUGGCUUGUCCAUUGCUAAUUGACACUUUAACAGGUCGUUAAAGAAGAUAUGAAGCGAAAGUUAAAGAACACCAAUACGAAGCCUCUGAGUCACUCAUAAUACUUAAGACUGCAAGUUCUGUGUCAAAUUUUUUAUGAUGCAGAUGAGAAGUUGCAUGUUUUGGAUGAAUUGUCUAUUUCUUAUGUGAAGUCAUUAAUUCCUGAGUUUUGUUCCCAAGUACACUACACAUAUGUACCUAUAUUUGUUAUAGGUUACUGCUGUCAAUUUGUGAAACUCAAGUUCUUAACAUCAUCUUCCAGCCGAGUAUAUUUUCAUGAGAAAUUCAUGCGGUUCAGGCUUCUUGACCUCAUAUUUUUUAUAUUUGAUUUUAUAAUGAUUCAUUUGUUUAUUUUUUGUCAAAGCUGUUAGAAUUAGUUUAAUUAAGGCAUUUGCUUCAGCUUACCCUCCCCUUAAUAUGUGUAGCUAUACAUUGAGGGCUUUUGCCAUGGAAAUUUGUUAAGAGGACGAAGCAAUUACCCUGUCAAAUAUAUUCAAAUCGAAUUUUUCCGUACCACCACUGCCUAUCAAAUUGAGGCAUUAAGAGUAUGUUAUUUGUCUUCCUCCUGGUGCUAACCUGAUUAGAGAUUCCAAUGUGAAGAAUAAGUCGGAAACGAACUUUGUGAUUGAGCUGUAUUUUCAAGUUGAGCAAGAAGCAGGGAUUGAGUCAAUCCGAUUGAAAGCAUUGAUAGAUCUUUUCGAUGAAAUUAUGGAGCCACUUUUCAAUCAACUAAGGAUGAAGGAGCAACUUGGAUAUGUUGUUGAGUGUGGCCCACGGGUAACAUACCGUGUAUAUGGGUCCGACACUGUGGCACUCAAGCAACAUUUUGGAAAGAAAAUUUUGGAACUAGAAGAUGAGAAAAGAACUGUGCAGGUUCACUUAAAACCUUAAUAUUUGAUGUUCUUAUUCUUGAGAGAACCGAUAUUCACUUGAAACCUUUAUAAUUUUUGUUUUAUUUUAGUUGGGGAUAGAACAUGUAAAAUUAUAGUUGUUUUUAUAUAUAAUGGUUGUAAAUAUAUUUGUAAAUUGUAAUAUUAUAGAUGCUUGUGGUGAAAAAAUAAUUUUUUGUUUA